GACGAACGCUGGCGGCGUGCUUAACACAUGCAAGUCGAACGGAAAGGCCCUGCCUUUGUGGGGUAUUCGAGUGGCGAACGGGUGAGUAACACGUAGGUAACCUGCCCUUGCCUUCGGGAUAAGUCCGGGAAACGGGGCCUAAUACCGGAUAGGACUACCUUUUGAAUGGUGGGGGGGGAAAUGUUUCGGCGGUGGGGGAUGGCCCCGCGGUUUAGCGGCUUGUUGGGGGGGUGGCGGCUUACAGAGGCUUCGAGGGGUCGCCGGACUGAGGGGGUGACCGGCCACAUUGGGACAGAGAUGGCGCCCAGACUCAUGCGGGGGGGAGGAGUGGAGUAUAUUGCACGAUGGGCGGAAGCCUGGUGCAGCAACGCCGCGUGCGAGAAGACGGUCUUCGGGGUGUAAACCGCUUUCUCCUGAGAAGAAGCGUGAGUGACGGUAAUGGGUAAAGAAGCACCGGCUAACUACGUG
rnacentral:rRNA from 1 species